rnacentral:rRNA from 1 species
GAUGAACGCUGGCGGCGUGCCUAAUACAUGCAAGUCGAGCGAACGGACGAGAAGCUUGCUUCUCUGAUGUUAGCGGCGGACGGGUGAGUAACACGUGGAUAACCUACCUAUAAGACUGGGAUAACUUCGGGAAACCGGAGCUAAUACCGGAUAAUAUUUUGAACCGCAUGGUUCAAAAGUGAAAGACGGUCCUGCUGUCACUUAUAGAUGGAUCCGCGCUGCAUUAGCUAGUUGGUAAGGUAACGGCUUACCAAGGCAACGAUGCAUAGCCGACCUGAGAGGGGGAUCGGCCACACUGGAACUGAGACACGGUCCAGACUCCUACGGGAGGCAGCAGUAGGGAAUCUUCCGCAAUGGGCGAAAGCCUGACGGGGCAACGCCGCGUGAGUGAUGAAGGUCUUCGGAUCGUAAAACGCUGUUAUUAGGGAAGAACAAAGGUGUAAGUAACUGUGAACAUCUGGACGGUACCUAAUCAGAAAGCAACGGCUAACUACGG